rnacentral:rRNA from 1 species
AUGGAAUCGCUAAUACUAAUCUCACAGGCUCACAUGCAGCCUUGCUCUCCAGAAAAAUGGGUGUCUGUGAAGGUGAAGGGGAACACGGGAAAGAACAGGUCGUCAGAAUGUGGGCGUGAGCAGGUUGAGCAGCGACACCCUGGCGUUCACGAGCGCACGGUACACCUGCUCGCCGCUGCCCUCGGCGGCGGCCACGCACUCCUCGAGGCCGCGCACCCGGCCCAUGGCCGCCUUCCUCUCCUCCUCCUCCUCGUUGCAGUACUCCUCGAACGAGAACGACACGGUCCUCCGCCGGCGGAGGAGGUCAGUCACCAGCCACAUCGGGCUGGCGGGGGCGCGGGCGGGGGAGUAGGGCGUCGGCGUCCUCGGGGACGGGGCGGCGCUGGCGGCGGACUCGGCCGAGGCGGACGACAGGCCGGAGAAGAUGGCCGCGGAGGCGGCGGCCACGGCGGCCGUGGCGGCGGCGAAGGCGUCGGCGAGCGUGAUCUCGUCCAGGUCGUCGUCGGGGGCGGCGCGGUGGCAGAGGUCCCUGGCGGAGGAUGCGAGGCGGGAGACCUCCCUGGCGGCGCGGCGCUGCGCGCGGAGCGCCGCGGCGAGGCGCACGCCGUCGCGGCGGCGCAGGGCGGAGUGCGUCUCGUUGAGCAGCUGGCGGAGCGCGACGAGCGAGUCCCGGAAGCAGCCGUGGAAGUCGGCGAGGAGGAGCAGGUCGUCGAGCAGCUGCUCCGUCCAGGGCCGGCGGAGCGCGUCCCGCGCCUGCGGGUGGUGGAGCAUGGCGGAGAGGCCCGCCAGCACCUGCCCGGCCCGGUCGGCGCCGUCGGCGACCCAGGCGGGCCCCGUCUGCGCGGGCUCGUCCGCCCACCGCAGCAGCGCGCGCGCCGAGUCGUGCAGCGCGGCCACCAGCGGGUGGAGGCGGACGGGGAGGCUGAUGGAGCGGACGCGCGCGUAGGAGGACAGCUUCUUGGGCCGCGCGCACUCCAGCAGGGCCGACUUGGGCGACGUGAGCGCGUCCAGCGCCCGACGGAACCCCACCGCCAUCGCCGCUGGCUUCCUGAUUGCCUCUGCUUGCUGGAGAGAAGCUUUUCGAUCGGGCGUUUGAUCCUUGGAUGUGGAUGUGAAUGCGGUGGUCUCGGUGUGCUGCUGGUGAUGGGGGAGGCGGUGCUUUAUACUGGUUUAUUACACGAGGAGUGA